rnacentral:rRNA from 1 species
UGGGGAAUAUUGCACAAUGGGCGCAAGCCUGAUGCAGCCAUGCCGCGUGUGUGAAGAAGGCCUUCGGGUUGUAAAGCACUUUCAGCGAGGAGGAAGGUGGUGAGCUUAAUACGCUCAUCAAUUGACGUUACUCGCAGAAGAAGCACCGGCUAACUCCGUGCCAGCAGCCGCGGUAAUACGGAGGGUGCAAGCGUUAAUCGGAAUUACUGGGCGUAAAGCGCACGCAGGCGGUUUGUUAAGUCAGAUGUGAAAUCCCCGGGCUCAACCUGGGAACUGCAUUUGAAACUGGCAAGCUAGAGUCUCGUAGAGGGGGGUAGAAUUCCAGGUGUAGCGGUGAAAUGCGUAGAGAUCUGGAGGAAUACCGGUGGCGAAGGCGGCCCCCCUGGACGAAGACUGACGCUCAGGUGCGAAAGCGUGGGGCAGCAAACAGGAUUAGAUACCCUGGUAGUCCACGCUGUAAACGAUGUCGAUUUGGAGGUUGUGCCCUUGAGGCGUGGCUUCCGGAGCUAACGCGUUAAAGUCGACCGCCUGGGGAGUACGGCCGCAAGGUUAAAACUUAAAUGAAUUGACGGGUCAUAGCUG